ensembl:lncRNA
GGAUCUGGUAAAGUCGUUGAGAAGUUCUAUGAGUUCCUCGCGGUCCAAUAAAGAACCUGCAGGAAACUUCACCCCCAGGAUGGACCAGAAGAACACCACAGGCAGUGCAGAUGGUUCCCCCACAUUAGAGCCGGGUUCUGCUCAAGGUUUUUUUCCCUGUUAAAAGGGUGUUUUCCUGCCACUGUCUCCUUAGGGCUUGCUCUGGGGUUCAGGCAUAUGGGUUCUGUAAAGCGUCUCGAGACAAUUUGACUGUAAUUGGCGCUAUAUAAAUAAAAUUGAAUUGAAUUGU